rnacentral:rRNA from 1 species
UACGUAGGGUGCAAGCGUUGUCCGGAAUUAUUGGGCGUAAAGAGCUCGUAGGCGGUCUGUCGCGUCGGCUGUGAAAUCCCGAGGCUCAACCUCGGGUCUGCAGUCGAUACGGGCAAACUGGAGUGUUGCAGGGGAGACUGGAAUUCCUGGUGUAGCGGUGAAAUGCGCAGAUAUCAGGAGGAACACCGGUGGCGAAGGCGGGUCUCUGGGCAACAACUGACGCUGAGGAGCCAAAGCGUGGGGAGCGAACAGG